GAUGAACGCUGGCGGCGUGCCUAACACAUGCAAGUCGAACGAAGCACCUUACCUGAUUCUUCGGAUGAGAGUUUGGUGACUGAGUGGCGGACGGGUGAGUAACGCGUGGGUAACCUGCCCUGUACAGGGGGAUAACAGCUGGAAACGGCUGCUAAUACCGCAUAAGCGCACGAGGAGACAUCUCCUUGUGUGAAAAACUCCGGUGGUACAGGAUGGGCCCGCGUCUGAUUAGCUGGUUGGCAGGGUAACGGCCUACCAAGGCAACGAACAGUAGCCGGUCUGAGAGGAUGAACGGCCACAUUGGAACUGGGACAAGUGCCGAACUCCGGCGAGAGGCAGCAGUGGGGAAUAUGGCACAAUGGGGGAAACACUGAUGCAGCAACGCUGCGUGAGUGAAGAAGUAUGUAGGUAAGUAAAUCUCUAUCAGCAGGGAAGAUAAGAACGGUACCUAACUAAGAAGCCCCGGCAAAAUACGG
rnacentral:rRNA from 1 species